rnacentral:misc_RNA from 1 species
UCUCUUUACAAGUGUCUUGAAGCAUUUUUGAAGGAGGAACCUCUUGGACCAGAUGACAUGUGGUUUUGUCCAAGUUGUAAGAAGCAUCAUCAAGCCAGUAAACAAUUAGAUCUUUGGAGACUGCCAGAGAUUCUGGUUGUUCAUCUAAAAAGGUUCUCAUAUACUCGAUUUAUGAAGAACAAGCUUGAGGCGUAUGUUGACUUCCCUGUUGAUGAUCUAGAUUUGUCAGCUUACAUUUCAUACAAGAAUGGCCAAUCAUCUCAUCGUUACAUGCUUUAUGCUAUCAGUAAUCACUAUGGAAGCAUGGGAGGCGGGCAUUACACUGCUUUUGUCCAUCAUGGGGGUGAUCGCUGGUAUGACUUCGACGAUAGCCAAGUUCAUCCAAUCAGUCAGGACAAGAUAAAGACUUCAGC